GGAAUAAAAGAGAUAAGAUGCAAUUUACUAACUUGGAAUGAAAGAGAGGACCUUCUAUUUAGCUUAGAGAAGUAAAAAAAUGUUAUGAGGGAAUAUUAUAUACAAUUUAUGCCAACUAGAAAAAUGGAUGCAAUGGACAAAUUCCUGGAAUCAAACUAUUUCCCCCCAUUAUUCAAUGACCUCCUACCAGGUCCCUCCUCCUACAUUGGAGAUUACAAUUUAACAUGAGAUUUGGGUGGGGAAACAAAUCCAAACCAUAUCAUGAAACCCCUGGUGCACUGUCAUUAAUAAUGAUAUCAUACAAUGUGUAUUUAUUUCUAAUAAUAUAAAGGUAAUUGAAUAAUGGGGCCAAGUCUUUCCUGUGUUCUUAUUGUGAUAGUGAAUAAGUCUCACAAGAUCUGAUGAUAUUUUUUAAAAAGAGGAGUUCCCCUGCACAAGUGUUCUCUUUUGCAUUUAGAAUUAUCAAAGAAUGCACUAAGAGAAUGUAGUAGCUGAAAAGAAAAAGUGCUAAAGUUAAAAUUAAUGGAAGAAAAUAAUGAGAAAUUAGAGGUAAUUUUUCUAAUAUAUAUUUGAACCUAGGGAUAACUUGAUACAAAAACAAAUGUGUUGUUAGGGCAUAGAUGAAAAUAAUGGUUAAAAUUAUCUCUAUUUUUAGUAGAGACGGGGUUUCUCCAUGUUGGUCAGGCUGGUUUCAAACUCCCGACCUCAGGUGAUCCCCCCACCUCAGCCUUUGAAAGUGCUGGGAUUACAGGCGUGAGCCA
rnacentral:lncRNA from 1 species